rnacentral:rRNA from 1 species
UACGUAGGUGGCAAGCGUUGUCCGGAUUUACUGGGCGUAAAGGGCGUGCAGGCGGUCUGUUAAGUCUGGCGUGAAAGCUCUCGGCUAAACCGGGAGAGGUCGUUGGAUACUGACGGACUAGAGGACGGUAGAGGCGUGUGGAAUUCCGGGUGUAGUGGUGAAAUGCGUAGAGAUCCGGAGGAACACCAGUGGCGAAGGCGACACGCUGGGCCGUACCUGACGCUAAGACGCGACAGCAUGGGGAGCGAACGGG